rnacentral:rRNA from 1 species
AGAGUUUGAUCAUGGCUCAGGAUGAACGCUGGCGGCAUGCCUAACACAUGCAAGUCGAACGAAGUUACCGGAGCAGCGGACUUAGGUUCAACGCACCGACUAACUUAGUGGCGGAUGGGUGAGUAACACGUGAGCAACCAACCUUUUACUCGGGAAUAACAUGGGGAAACCCAUGCUAAUACCUGAUAUUAUCAAGAAAUGGCAUCAUAAUUUGAUGAAAGAUUUAUCGGUAAAAGACGGGCUCGCGUCCGAUUAGCUAGUUGGUAAGGUAAUGGCUUACCAAGGCCACGAUCGGUAGCCGGACUGAGAGGUCGACCGGCCACAUUGGGACUGAGAACGGCCCAGACUCCUACGGGAGGCAGCAGUGGGGAAUAUUGGGCAAUGGACGCAAGUCUGACCCAGCGAUGCCGCGUGAAGGAUGGAAGGCCCUCGGGUUGUAAACUUCUUUAGACAGGGAAGAAAGAAAUGACAUUACCUGUAGGAUAAGCCACGGCUAACUACGUGCCAGCCGCCGCGGUAAUAC